GCAGAGGUAGCUAAGCCUGGUUAACGGCGCUAGAUUCAGGGUCUAGUCCUUAGUGGUUCGCCGGUUCGAAUCCGGCCCUCUGCA
rnacentral:tRNA from 1 species